rnacentral:lncRNA from 1 species
GAUUCACGGCUGUCUGGCUUCUCCCUGUCCUCCCCCAGAUAAGUUGAAGCCAGAUGAUAGAGCAUUAGACAGAGCCGGGAGGAGCAGCCGGAGGAGUGACGGGAAGCCAAGCAGAAACGGACACUAUCUGGUCCCAGCUCAGGCUUUGGCUUAAUCGCAACCACAUGAGCAGAAUCAGGGCUGGAAGCGUAGCUGUGAUGAGAAGAGUUUCCUUUGGGAUGGAAUGAGGAUAGAGCUGUUGCGGCCUGAGACAAGCAAACAACUUUCCUCUCUGAGCCAGUCACAGGAAGGAUGCAGCCAGGAAGACCAGUGAGGCUACCUUUCCACAGUACUGGGAACAUCUCCGCUGAAAACCCAUCAUGGUUCUGGGUCAAAAGCAGCACGGAAACAAGUGGAAUUGCCUGCAGACUCAUUCUGAAUAAAGGGUGGGUCCACAUGGAGAAGCCUGCAUCCAGAUGUGCUUGUGAUUGGGUAAGAAAUCUGCCUAAUUUGGAAAGAAUUAUUAGUAUGCCCGCUUGGCUGCAGACCUUAGCUGCUUUCUCCAAAAUAGAUUUUAACUUUAAUAAAACCA